GAAAGUGGGGGCAACCCUGCGAGUAGAGUGGCGAACGGGUGAGUAACACAUCGGAACGUGCCCAGGAGUGGGGGACAACCUCGAGAAAUCGAGGCUAAUACCGCAUACGUCCUGAGGGAGAAAGCGGGGGAUCUGCAAGGACCUCGCGCUCAUGGAGCGGCCGAUGUCGGAUUAGCUAGUUGGUGGGGUAAAGGCCCACCAAGGCUACGAUCCGUAGCUGGUUUGAGAGAACUGACCAGCCACACUGGGACUGAGACACUGGCCCAGACUCCUACGGGAGGCAGCAGUGGGGAAUUUUGGACAAUGGGGGCAACCCUGAUCCAGCCAUGCCGCGUGAGUGAAGAAGGCCUUCGGGUUGUAAAAGCUCUUUCGGCCGGAACGAAAUCGCGUACGUGAAUAACGUGCGUGGAUGACGGUACUUGGAAGAAGAAGCACCGGCUAACUACGUGCCAGCAGCCGCGGUAAUACGUAGGGUGCGAGCGUUAAUCGGAAUUACUGGGCGUAAAGCGUGCGCAGGCGGUUCUGUAAGUCAGAUGUGAAAUCCCCGGGCUUAACCUGGGAACUGCGUUUGAAACUACGGAGCUAGAGUACGGCAGAAGGGGGUGGAAUUCCACGUGUAGCAGUGAAAUGCGUAGAUAUGUGGAGGACACCGAUGGCGAAGCAGCCCCCUGGGCCGAUACUGACGCUCAGGCACGAAAGCGUGGGAGCAAACAGGAUUAGAUACCCUGGUAGUCCACGCCCUAAACUAUGUCAACUAGUUGUCGGGAAAGCAAUUUCUUGGUAACGAAGCUAACGCGUGAAGUUGACCGCCUGGGGAGUACGGUCGCAAGAUUAAAACUCAAAGGAAUUGACGGGGGCCCGCACAAGCGGUGGAUGAUGUGGAUUAAUUCGAUGCAACGCGAAAAACCUUACCUACCCUUGACAUGCCCGGAAGCCCGAUGAGAGUUGGGUGUGCUCGAAAGAGAGCCGGGACACAGGUGCUGCAUGGCUGUCGUCAGCUCGUGUCGUGAGAUGUUGGGUUAAGUCCCGCAACGAGCGCAACCCUUGCCAUUAGUUGCUACAUUUAGUUGGGCACUCUAAUGGGACUGCCGGUGACAAACCGGAGGAAGGUGGGGAUGACGUCAAGUCCUCAUGGCCCUUAUGGGUAGGGCUUCACACGUCAUACAAUGGCGGAUACAGAGGGUUGCCAACCCGCGAGGGGGAGCCAAUCCCAGAAAGUCCGUCGUAGUCCGGAUCGGAGUCUGCAACUCGACUCCGUGAAGUCGGAAUCGCUAGUAAUCGCGGAUCAGCAUGUCGCGG
rnacentral:rRNA from 1 species